CACUUAUUUUCCAGAUUAAGAAAAAACUGGAAAGAUGAAGUAACUUGCCUAAGGAUCCAUAGGAAAAGAGUGCUAGAGCCAGAGUCGGGAAAACAGUUCUCGUGUCUACACUUCACCAGCUUUUAAGAAGUAAACGUGUUCCAGCUGUGAACAAUGACGAUAUUCAUCUUUUUAAGUCAAAACCCACUGGGUAAUAUUUAUUACCCUUUAAGUCAGUUUCAGUUUGCAUUGCCCCUGAUGGUCUUCUCCUUGGACACUAGGAAAUCCUCAACUUGAACAAUAUUCUAAGUGCCCUAAAGCAAUUAAAACAAAACUUUGGAGGAGUGGGGCGGGGAGACAUUCCUGGAGGGCCAGAGCGGGGAUCGCAGCAGAAUCUGCAGCACUGGUGUUAAGGAGAAUUUGAGCGCUCGAAUGCUGUUGUUAAAUUUCUUCCCAGAGCCCCAUGCUCCCUCGUUUAGCAUCUCCCUUCCCCAAUAAUUACUUGAGAGGAUGAGCUCGAGAUUGAAGAGUGAGGUUGGCUUUUCUGUGUGAGGAGCCGAUAGGAUCCACCAACACUAAAAUCAAAAAGACUCCUGGUGCUUGCGAGUACAACCCCAAAUUCUCUCGCACACUGCCCAAGUUUCUUGAAACUCGGAGGCUCAGCUCAGUGUAAAAACAUGGGGGUUCUCCUGAGUCGGUUUCCCUGACCACAGGGGGACCCCUGCAAACACGGCCUCCUCUUUAAUACCUUUGUAACUCAGUUCUUCAAGCAACCCACCUAGGAGAAUAAAAGGACCCACUGAGCUCCAAUAACUGAGUAGAUGAUUAAAUAAAGCCGAGAUCUCAGAUCUUCGCGUUUGGGGUGGGGAGUGGGGGCGCUGGGGAAAAGUCGGGAAUAGCCCCGCGGUACCUGGGGAUCCCAGUUGUUUUUUCUAAGAAAGCCCGGGGUUAAAAAAUGCAUUGGAAUGUGGCGAUGCCUCCAUCAGCCGUCACUUUAUAAGUUCCCAAGUCACGCUGCUCUAGACCAUUGUGGAUGAAAGUGGAUUGUCUCUCCAGAACCAAAUAUUCCCUGACCUGCUUCCCCAACGCGCCCUCACGCUUUCCUGGGAGAGCACAGCGCUGCCGGAGACGCGGCGCUUCUGUCAAUUGUGCAGAGCAAUUACUAAGAAAAUAUUGUGACGAUGUUGUAGGGCGAAAGGGGACGUGAGGAGGAAAGGGAGGGGGAGUUAGUUUGGAGAGCAAUUUGCAAAGGAAUAUUAACUUUGAUUCCCGAGGUCACCGCGGGAAAAGGGGUUCUGGGCUGCAGAGCUCUUCCUCUAGGUGGCGGACUUUGGCACCAAACAACCGCUAGAUGAGCGCUGACUUCAAACACAGGAUUAAGCUUCUUGCUGGUUAAAAAUAAUAACAGUAAUAAUAUAGAGGUGUGGGGCUGUUUUUUCCCCCUUUUGGAUAUUUAUUUAUUGCAGGGAAAAGUCAUUGAUUUUCCUAAGCAAACUGUGUUUCUCCUUCACUUGGUGGAAAAUAAAAACUGUUUGAAUAAAUAAGUUAUUUCUGAACAU
rnacentral:lncRNA from 1 species